UACGUAGGUGGCAAGCGUUGUCCGGAUUUACUGGGCGUAAAGAGCGCGCAGGCGGUCGUUCAAGUCGCGUGUGAAAGCCCCCGGCUCAACUGGGGAGGGUCACGCGAUACCGGUCGACUCGAAGGCAGGAGAGGGUAGUGGAAUUCCCGGUGUAGUGGUGAAAUGCGUAGAUAUCGGGAGGAACACCAGUGGCGAAGGCGACUACCUGGCCUGUUUCUUGACGCUGAGGCGCGAAAGCUAGGGGAGCAAACGGG
rnacentral:rRNA from 1 species